rnacentral:misc_RNA from 1 species
GAAAUAUGUUUUUUGUUCACCCUGCGACAUGGGGGUGUUUUAGGCAUACUUUUCAGUGUUGGAAUAUCAACUCCUAUUCUUUGGCUACCACUACUUCCAAUAGGUAUGAUUAUAUAUCUAGACACUAGGGAGAGCUACCCCAACCCCCAAGCUGAAGGAGAAAAGGAAAAUAGGGUAACUUGAUAAUUGGAUAGCUUACUUUUAUUCUUAUUAGUAUUGACUCAAUGUAAUGGAUUGAUGAUCUCUCUUAACUAGGGUAUUGCAUUGAUCAUCAC